rnacentral:rRNA from 1 species
UACGUAGGGUGCGAGCGUAAUCGGAAUUACUGGGGCGUAAAGCGUGCGCAGGCGGCGCGUUAAGACAGGUGUGAAAUCCCCGGGCUUAACCUGGGAACUGCGCUUGUAACUGAUAGGCUGGAGUGUGGCAGAGGGGGGUGGAAUUCCACGUGUAGCAGUGAAAUGCGUAGAGAUGUGGAGGAACACCGAUGGCGAAGGCAGCCCCCUGGGCUAACACUGACG